UGCAAGAAUUGAGAAUGAAGGGGAGUGGGCGCAGGUUUGGAAAUCAAUCCCAAAGAGCCUGAAGUCAAUCAAAGGCCGCGAUGGAAUGGUGGCAGGAGGAGCAAUGGAACUUCACUUUUAUAAUGGGAUUUUUACUUUUGCUCUUUUUAUAGUAUCAGGGAAGCAAACUGCCUUUUACCAGUUAGACGAUGCUAUUUGAAUCUAGUUGAACCAGGGAAUACAGAGUGAGCAAUAUGUAGCUUGAAUUACAUUUAAAAGCAGAUUUUUUUAAAAAAAACAAAACAAAACGGUGAAAGCACUGAUUGUCAUGUUUAGCAGUCACUAUGGCCUAGAGAACUUUUUCAAGUAGGAAGGUAAUGUUCUUACUCUCUCAAAAAUGGGCAUCGAACAAUCAAUGUAGGAGCGUGGCAGUGGGUAAAAUGAUGGACAGGCACCAAAGCUAUUUUCUCAUCCACCCAGUGGACGAGUGGGACUGUGAAACAAGUGAUGUGGAAUGAAUGGGUGCAACAGCUGUACAGACAAUCAAUAACACACACAGUUCUGGAAAGAACACAUCACUUGUGCUUGUUUGAUGAGCUUGUCACAUUCUAAUCCCUCUCCCCAUCCUGUUUCAAUUUUGGGAAACUUGUAUCUGCUGGUGUCAGCAAUUCUGAUUCUGAAAUAGGAUCAGGCUUUUACUACAACAGCCUUCUCUUUCUAUUUAUUGUGUCGACUCGUGGCUUAUGAUUAAAGGCAGGCAAAGUUUGCAGGCUCUAAACCCUUAAGAACUGUCUUAAGGAUGUUUAUUUUUUUCCCCUUUUUAAAUAAUUUUACACUUUUUAGUAUCUAUUUCAGAGUCAUAUUUAAAACUAUUUAUUAGUGAAUACAGUACAUGAGACAACAAGGUUACUGAGAUUACAAUUCUUCAGUGGUUAAUGAUAAUGUGGUUUAUACUGUGCCUUAAUAGUAAUGCUAUUUAAGAUAUUUAUUUUUAAGUUUUACUAUGCUGCACUCUAAAGAAAGGAACUUUAGAUGUGACACUGUAAAAUUAUGUAUUCAUCUCAUGGCGUAAAUUAUUUAGUAGGUCUAGAUGUAGCAUAUUAAAUAUUAACCUAUUCAACUAAAGAUGUUGACUUGGAUUUAUUUAAAUUCAUAUGUGCACUGUAUAAGAGAGUACUCUUAACAUUAACACAUUUUAGUUUAGGUUUUUUCUUUUUUUUUUUUUUUAAACAGGCUCUAUUGCUAGUUUCAUGCUUCCUUCUCUGAUUUUUUGCCUGUGUAGCCCUCAUUAUUGGUACUUCAUUAGUUUAACACUCUUCUUAUGUAGUUUAUGGAGUUUUUAAAUGCUGCUUUACAUUUUUCUUCUGAAACUGCAAUACUUGCAAUUUUUAUUCUUAAACUAAAUUGAAUACUAUUUUACACUGUAUUGGAUUUUUAUACUUGAACAAUUUCAUACAAGGGAAGACAGGUUAGCAUUUUUAUGGACUUUCUCCAUUAUCACUGGAUUUACUUUAAGUAUUCCCAUAUUAGACAGUGUUAUGUAAUGUAGACAGGACUCUCCUGGGCAAAUUAUUUAUUCAUUGUGUCUAUUGCUUUAUAACAUUUCAGAUCUUCUAAUCUAUUCACUUGUAUUAAAUAUAAUUUUUAAAAACUUCUGUGGCAUUGAUUGUUUCUAAUUUUGUUGUGAAGGUGGAGUGAUUUCUCCCUUUAAUUAGAGUUAAUGGCCGGGAUUUACAGGUAACAUUUUCAGUGAGCAGAAAUUUUCCCAGAUGCCCUGUUGUUUUGUUGGUUUGUUUGAUUUGGGGGGGACAGUGCCUGGGAGGGGGGUUGUUUGUUUGUUUGUUUUGUCUUUUUCGAGCCACACGUGGCAUGUGGAGGGAGGUUCACCAGGCUAGGGGUUGAAUCAGAGCUGUAGCAGCCAGCCUAUGCCACAACCACAGCAACGCCAGAUCGGAGCUGCAUCUGGGACCUACACCACAGCUCACGGCAAUGCCGGAUCCCUAACCCCCUGAGUGAGGCCAGGGAUCAAACCUGCAUCCUCACGGAUACUAGUCAGAUUUGUUUCCCCUGAGCCACAACGGGAACUCCUCAAGUGCCCCAUUUUGAUACCUUUUAAAUGGUUUCCUUAACUCAGUUUCUGCCUUAUAUUUAGCAAAUGAUAUAGGUCCUUCCCCAGUUGUGAACCCUAAGGGACUAUUGAUGGCACUGAUAACCGGUGACCUGAAGAUGGCUUGAAUGGAGUGGGCAGUAGAAGGGAAGAGGCGGUUCAAAGCUGGAGCAGCACAGUGAUGCUGAGGUCAGGUGAAUGAGGUUUGGUGCUAGCCUCUCCCACCUUCUAGCAAUGUUGGUGGAACACAUCGCUCUUUGUAAUCUACUUUGGAGGUGAGGUUUAUAUUGAUUUCUCACCUAUCAUAUUGGGACAGUAAUACCUAUCUUACACGGUUACUUAUGUUUUAAAGUAUAUCAUCUGCUUGGCACAGAGUCAAGUACUUGGUAAGCUCUAGAAGAAUGAUUCCUGGUAGCAGUUGCUGUAAUGCCUUAUAGUGAAAGCUAACCAAGGAGGUCACCAGCGAGGCUAUUUCCAUUUAAUUUCUGGCCACAGUGACGGGGCUGCAUCUAAGGCGGUGUGUCUUAGACCAGCCAAUGAAUGACUAUCACGUUGAUUGUCUUACAGCGUAUGUAUUAUGUUAACUAUGGAAUGGAUGGUCUCUUGACCCCUUGAUCUUCAUCUUUCCCAAAUUCAUGACAUGUUAUCUUUUAUUUCAUUCCACUAGUUUUCAAAUAUUAUAAGCAGCACAAAGUUAUGAUAACAGACUCCAUCACGCUUUCCACUUGAUGACGUCAUAGUCCCCAACUUUAAUUACCUUUAAUUUACAAAAAAAAUAGAUACCACCUUAUCCCUGGAGAGAGCUAUAAUUGCACCCCAAGGUAUUAUCUUGGAUCAGUAAAAUAAUUGCAAAGUUACUUAAUUCAGUCGGGGCAUCACUGAUUAUUUUAUUCCAAAAGACAUGUUCUACAUUUAAUAGUGCAGAUGUAUGAAAGGUCACUUUUGUCCUCUCUAAAGUCAUAUAUUGAUGGCUGAGCUUUAAAAUGAAACAUUAUUUGAUUUAUCAAUUAAAAAUAGGUCAGACCAUUCUGGGAAAAGCUUCUCCAAAACAGCCAAAAGUCCAUGUACACUUCAGAACCGACUGUACCUUUCUUGGAGGUAUUUGCUGAGCUAGGCUAAUAUCAAUAUAAGCAGUUACAGAGCGGGCAAGACUUUUACUUUAUAAUGCUACAGGAUACAUUUCUAAAAGUGAAUAAAUAACCAUUCUUAAGGUGUCAUAAAGCGGGGAGAGUACCCACAACAGAAUGUCUGUCUUGGUCAGAAGGAUGGUUGUGGUUGUGGUCGUAGAGUUAGAGAAAGCAAGUGUCUGAGACCAAAGAGCUGGCUGAGUCCUGGUUUCUUUACUUAUACCCAGGGUGAUCUUGCACCCCUCUGUCUUGGCAACAUGUAAGUUGACAGAACCCAACGUAGUUGUUCUGUUGACUUCUCAGAUGGUACUGCUUAAAUGAGUUAACGAUAUGAGAGCAUGUUAGAAAUUCCAAACAAUUAGGCAAAUCGAAAUUAUACUGUGGGAAUAUACACAAUAUGAAUUUGGAAAUUGACCUCUGUUUUCUUGUAUGAAAUGACCUUCCCAAAGAGGACAACACUGUCCUCUCAUGAUGCUAUCUUUAUUCUGUCCCAACCAAGUCACAGCUAAACUUGCUGUACAAGAGUGGCACAGAAGCCACAUUGAAAGAUGGAGAGAUGGCCUGGCCAGGGGAGAGAAGGGGAGACAAGAUGAUGGGAUGUAUUUCUCUCACAAGGGAACCUUAUUCAGCCCCUUCCUCACUCCUGUCAAAUAUUAGGCUUCUUAAUUCCCUCAGAUGCUUGAAAGCGUUCAAGAUGACAGCCUAAAGUUCGGAGGGGCAGAGGUGAAGAGGAGCCAAAAAAAAAAAAAAAGAAAGAAAAAAAAAAUGCAUGUUCAUGCUUACUUUUGUCCUCUCUUCUCCUUCAAGAGUUCCAGGCUGUUUCCAUGGAAAUUCUAACUUCGUUUUGCUUAAGUACUUCAUGCAGAAGAGGUUUCAUUUCGGGUAUUUGUUCUGAGUUGAAUUUUAGAAGUUCAAUAAUGAUUUUUGGCUCCGUCAUUUACAUUCCAGACUUUGACAUCCCAGUCAUAAAUCAAAAUGGGAAAGAAAUCAGACAAUACAUGUAUAAGAUAAGAAAAGGGAUUUAUAGCUUUCAUACAAUAAAUUCGUUCUUAAAAUUGCACAGCAUUUGGUCUUUCUUGACCAACGUCUUCAGAGAGGAAGUCUAUAAAGUCUCUUUCUUUCUAGUCUCUUCCCUCUCGGAAGAUGAAUGUCAUAGCUUUUUUUAAAUCCAAGAUGCUACCACUGAGCUAUGAGUGUGCUUUAAGUGAGUUGGAGGGUGUGCCUUUUUUUCCAUUUUUCCACUCUUAGAGGUAAUUCUGAUUGUGUCAUUAACAGAGAUGGAGUAGCAAUCGUUAUUUCUUGCAGUAGCUCAGAUAAUGUUGUUCAUAAAAGGACAAAUAUUUCAAACCGACUUCUAAAAUGAGCGUGAAAUACAAAAAUGUAGUUGUGCCAAGUAGACAGUUGUGUUUUAGCUCCCUGUUUAAACUAGGUUCAUCCGAUGGUCCUAACCAGGAAUAAACUUGUUUCCUUUCCGAAUAUUGUCACCUUUGGCUCUGCCCCCUGUGCUGUAGGUGGCUCGGGUGAGAUGGAAGGGAAAGAGACGGUGCCUUUGGAGAGUCGUAGAGUAGGCACUUCCAUUCUGCAUUCGCUUAUGGAUAUUUUGAAAUUCGAGGGGGGGAGAAGGACAUGGAAAGGAAGUAGAAGAAAAGAAUGAAGAAAAGAAAAAAGCACUAAGGUCAAAAGCAUCCCCUAAAAAUAGGUGAAAGGCACUAAGAUGGAGCAGUGGGAGCCGCGUGGGCUGGAUCACGGGAGGUGAGCUUGCCACUAAGGGGUCACAUAAGGAGGAAAAGGGGAGAUGACUGGCUGGGGGCCAGGAGACUUCAUCUGGGGAUGAGACAUGGGGGAGCAUUUAAAGGACACUAAUUAGACAUCUAGUUUUCUAAACAAAAGACAUUCAGGGAGUUCCCUGGUGGCUCAGGGCAUGGCUCAGAGUCGCUGAAGGGCUCAGGUUCAAUCCCUGGCCUGGGAAUUCCCACAAGUCAUGGGCAUG
rnacentral:lncRNA from 1 species